rnacentral:rRNA from 1 species
GGGGAAUCUUCCGCAAUGGACGAAAGUCUGACGGAGCAACGCCGCGUGAGUGAUGACGGCCUUCGGGUUGUAAAGCUCUGUUAAUCGGGACGAAAGGCCUUCUUGCGAAUAGUUAGAAGGAUUGACGGUACCGGAAUAGAAAGCCACGGCUAACUACGUGCCAGCAGCCGCGGUAAUACGUAGGUCCCGAGCGUUAUCCGGAUUUAUUGGGCGUAAAGCGAGCGCAGGCGGUUAGAUAAGUCUGAAGUUAAAGGCUGUGGCUUAACCAUAGUACGCUUUGGAAACUGUUUAACUUGAGUGCAGAAGGGGAGAGUGGAAUUCCAUGUGUAGCGGUGAAAUGCGUAGAUAUAUGGAGGAACACCGGUGGCGAAAGCGGCUCUCUGGUCUGUAACUGACGCUGAGGCUCGAAAGCGUGGGGAGCAAACAGGAUUAGAUACCCUGGUAGUCCACGCCGUAAACGAUGAGUGCUAGGUGUUGGGUCCUUUCCGGGACUCAGUGCCGCAGCUAACGCAUUAAGCACUCCGCCUGGGGAGUACGACCGCAAGGUUG